rnacentral:rRNA from 1 species
UCUGGUUGAUUCUGCCAGUAGUCAUAUGCUUGUCUCAAAGAUUAAGCCAUGCAUGUCUAAGUAUAAGCUUGUUUAUACGGCGAGACUGCGGAUGGCUCAUUAAAUCAGUUAUAGUUUAUUUGAUGGUCUCUUUUGUCUUUUUUUACCUACUUGGAUAACCGUGGUAAUUCUAGAGCUAAUACAUGCGCAAGGUCCCGAGCGCGGGGGGUGGGGCUUCACGGCUCCAUUCUCGCAUGCGCAGAGGGAUGUAUUUAUUAGGUUAAAAACCAGCGUAGUCAGCAAUGGCUACAAACUCCCCUGGUGAUUCAUAGUAACUCUUUCGGAUCGCAUUCAUGUCCUCCUUCGUGGGGACGGCGACGAUUCAUUCAAAUUUCUGCCCUAUCAACUUUCGAUGGUAGGAUAUGCCUACCCCAUGGUGGUAACGGGUAACGGAGAAUCAGGGUUUGAUUCCGGAGAAGGAGCCUGAGAAACGGCUACUACUUCUAAGGAAGGCAGCAGGCGCGCAAAUUACCCAAUCCCGACACGGGGAGGUAGUGACAAUAAAUAACAAUACAGGCGCUCGAUAAGAGUCUUGUAAUUGGAAUGAGUACAAUUUAAACCCCUUAACGAGUAACAAUUGGAGGGCAAGUCUGGUGCCAGCAGCCGCGGUAAUUCCAGCUCCAAUAGCAUAUAUUAAAGUUGUUGCAGUUAAAAAGCUCGUAGUUGGAUCUAGGGACGCGCAUUUCAAGCGCCCGUGUCGUCGGGUCAAACCGGCGACUGCGUUGGCGUUGCGGGCUCGGUCCGUCGGUGCUCACAAAAGCAUCGGCGUGUCAACCGGCCCGCCCGUCCCCUCCUUCUGGAUUCCCGUUCCUGCUAUUGAGUUAGUGGGGACGUCACAGGGGGCCCAUCGUCGUGUCAUGCAAAUGGCACGGCGGUGAGUCCCUGGGGCCCAGAUCGUUUACCGUGAAAAAAUUAGAGUGUUCAAAGCAGGCAGAUCCAAUUUUCUGCCACCGAAUACAUUAGCAUGGGAUAAUGGAAUAGGACCCUGUCCUCCUAUUUUCAGUUGGUUUUGGCAGCGCGAGGACUAGGGUAAUGAUUAAUAGGGAUAGUUGGGGGCAUUAGUAUUUAAUUGUCAGAGGUGAAAUUCUUAGAUUUCUUGAAGACUAACUUCAGCGAAAGCAUCUGUCCAGGAUGUUUUCAUUAAUCAAGAACGAAAGUUAGGGGAUCGAAGAUGAUCAGAUACCGUUGUAGUCCUAACCAUAAACCAUGCCGACCAGCGAUUGGGAGACGUUGAAUACAAAACACCACCAUCGGCGCGGUCGUCCUUGGCGUGUCUCGGCUUCACGGCCGGGGCGCGCGAGGGCGGUUUAGCCCGGUGGCACCGGUGAACGACUCCCCAGGCAUCUUGUGAGAAAUCACAAGUCUUUGGGUUCCGGGGGGAGUAUGGUCGCAAGGUCGAAACUUAAAGGAAUUGACGGAGGGACGCA